ensembl:ncRNA F38E11.25 ncRNA
UUAAAAUUCAUCAAAAGAUACGUUGGCGAAACGAUAGAACACUCAAAAGGUAGAGGCGCAUCCAUCGCCAACUCAGAAAGCCCCGAUCGUAUCGAGACCACAGCGGGAAAGUCGGCGUGCCUUUGACUUUUUUGUCUGCGUUUCUCACAUUUGUGAGGUGUCUCUUACGAACGGUGGCUGCUUCGUGGCAGAUUUUAUAAAUAAAAUUGCAUUCAGGAAA